rnacentral:rRNA from 1 species
AGCAGCCGCGGUAAUUCCAGCUCCAAUAGCGUAUAUUAAAGUUGUUGCAGUUAAAAAGCUCGUAGUUGAAUUUCGGGAUCAGUACGCUGGUCGUGCCUUUGGUAUGUACUGGUGUCACUGAUUCCUCCCUUCUGAAGAACCGUUAUGCCAUUUAUUUGGUGUGGCGGGAAAUCAGGACUGUUACUUUGAAAAAUUAGAGUGUUUAAAGCAGGCUCGCGCUUGAAUACAUUAGCAUGGAAUAAUGAAAUAGGACGUUUGAUCUUAUUUUGUUGGUUUCUAGGAUCGACGUAAUGAUUAAUAGGGAUAGUUGGGGGCAUUAGUAUUCAAUUGUCAGAGGUGAAAUUCUUGGAUUUAUUGAAGACUAACUACUGCGAAAGCAUUUGCCAAGGAUGUUUUCAUUAAUCAAGAACGAAAGUUAGGGGAUCGAAGACGAUCAGAUACCGUCGUAGUCUUAACCAUAAACUAUGCCGACUAGGGAUCGGAUGAUGUUAAUUUUUAAUGACUCAUUCGGCGUCCG